rnacentral:rRNA from 1 species
GUAUCAUGGCUCAGGACGAACGCUGGCGGCGUGCUUAACACAUGCAAGUCGAACGGAGCACCCUUGAAUGAGGUUUCGGCCAAAGGAAAGGAAUGCUUAGUGGCGGACUGGUGAGUAACGCGUGAGGAACCUGCCUUUCAGAGGGGGACAACAGCUGGAAACGGCUGCUAAUACCGCAUGACGCAUUCGGAUGGCAUCAUCUGAAUGCCAAAGAUUUAUCGCUGAAAGAUGG